rnacentral:tRNA from 1 species
ACCUGGCUGGCUCAGUUGGUAGAGCAUGUGACUCUUGAUCUCGGGGUUGUGUGUUCCAGCCCCACGUUGGGUA